rnacentral:rRNA from 1 species
CCGGACCUGACUGCUAUCGGAUUGAUACUAAGCCAUGUGAGUCAUUGUAGCAAUACAAGGCAGACGGCUCAGUAACACGUAGCCAACCUACCCUAUGGACGGGGAUAACCUCGGGAAACUGAGGAUAAACCCCGAUAGAUCAUUAUACCUGGAACGGUUUAUGGUCCAAAUGAUUCGUCGCCGUAGGAUGGGACUGCGGCCUAUCAGCUUGUUGGUGAGGUAAUGGCCCACCAAGGCUAUUACAGGUACGGGCUCUGAGAGGAGAAGCCCGGAGAUGGGUACUGAGACACGGACCCAGGCCCUAUGGGGCGCAGCAGGCGAGAAAACUUUGCAAUGUGCGCAAGCACGACAAGGUUAAUCCGAGUGUUUCCUGCUAAAGGAAACUUUUGCUAGUCCUAAAAACACUAGCGGAUAAGGGGUGGGCAAGUUCUGGUGUCAGCCGCCGCGGUAAAACCAGCACCUCAAGUGGUCAGGAGGAUUAUUGGGCCUAAAGCAUCCGUAGCCUGCUUUGUAAGUUUCCGGUUAAAUCCAUUAGCUCAACUGAUGGGCCGCCGGAAAAACUGCAAAGCUAGGGAGUGGGAGAGGUAGACGGUACUCGGUAGGAAGGGGUAAAAUCCUUUGAUCUAUCGAUGACCACCGGUGGCGAAGGCGGUCUACCAGAACACGUUCGACGGUGAGGGAUGAAAGCUGGGGGAGCAAACCGGAUUAGAUACCCGGGUAGUCCCAGCUGUAAACGAUGCAGACUCGGUGAUGCCCUGGCUUGUGGCCAGUGCAGUGCCGCAGGGAAGCCGUUAAGUUUGCCGCCUGGGAAGUACGUACGCGAAGUAUGAAACUUAA